UUAGAUCUCAAAUCAGGUAG
rnacentral:rRNA from 1 species